GAGCUGCAGGGCCAUGCCAGUGGGAGCUGGGGAGUCUCCAACCCUAAGGCUAUUUAGGUAUCCAGAAGCAGGAAGACACCCAGGUGAACUCCAAGGCUGUGGACUAGCCUAAUCAUCUGAGGACAGAUACCCUCAGUGAAGGGUCAUGUUAUAGAGAUGCACCAGGUCUCCCUCUAACUGACGAAGAUUCCUGUCUGUGAGAAUGAUCUUUAAAUGCCUUCAGUUCAAGGACUCCGUAGACUGUCUCUUUCAACUAAUAUGAGUUAUGGCCUGAUCCAAAGCCCAUUAACGUCAAUGGAAAGACACUCAUGGACUUCAGUGGACUUUGCAACAGGCUCUUUAUGUUUUGUCGAGCGUUGGCAGCUCCUCAAACCAAAUUUACUUCAUAUGAUCCUGAUCUGUAAUUCAUUGCACCUGCGCAGAGCCCCGUUGACUUCAGUAGGACUCCCCUAACUUCUGGACGCUGACGAGGCUUUUCACCAGAAUUCAGGCAUCAAGUUUGGACUCCAGCUUGUCACCCCAGCCCAGUCUCUCUGGCUCCUCAGCACCUGCAGGGAGGACAGAAUAAGGCAGGGAACAAGCCCUGAGACAGAAUUUCUGUGUUCCCAUUGACACCGCCUGGAAUGAAACGGUUAAGUUACCACUGCUCUGAAAACCCUGGGUAACAGACCAAGUACUCACCUGUACCUUUGCAACAGCGUUUGAAGACUGCUUUGAAAGUGUUUCUACCAAUGAAGCAAAACUUCAGGGUCAAGCCUCACCUGGUCAUUCUCUAUCUAAUGAAGACACCGCUCAGGAGGCUCUAAACUAAUGGCUCAGGAAAAUAACCCCCCAAAGCUGCCCUCUUGGCCGACACACCAGGGAUGAAUCGGGGACAUCCAGAGCUGGAAGCAUGAGCAGCUGUAGCUCGAGAUAAAGAACCAAGGCUCUGUUGCUGAGGGCUGUAACAACUCAUGGCCUCUGUGGAUUGGCACAGAGAA